AGCAUAUGCAGGGAUGUCCUCAGGCUGGUCUCGRAGGACCUCUCGGGCCAGACCCUCUAAGACGGAACUGAAACCUCGAGGGACCCGAAGCUUGUACAGCAGGACGUUUUCUUCCUUCUUGUCUUCAUGAAGUUACAGUCAGGCAUAUGUGAUGACUGCAUACUCAGAGUUGGUGCUCAUCUUGCGGCUGACCUCUCUGGGCUGAGGGACGUGCAAUCUGUCAGCUGAACGUGAGGCCUGAAGUUCCUAAGUAGCCAACCUGAGUGAGCUCAGGUGUGCUGACCCCUCGAACGGUGAUCAUAAUGUCAGCAUAAGGGAC